rnacentral:rRNA from 1 species
GAGUUUGAUCCUGGCUCAGGACGAACGCUGGCGGCGUGCCUAAUACAUGCAAGUCGAGCGGACAGAAGGGAGCUUGCUCCCGGAUGUUAGCGGCGGACGGGUGAGUAACACGUGGGUAACCUGCCUGUAAGACUGGGAUAACUCCGGGAAACCGGAGCUAAUACCGGAUAGUUCCUUGAACCGCAUGGUUCAAGGAUGAAAGACGGUUUCGGCUGUCACUUACAGAUGGACCCGCGGCGCAUUAGCUAGUUGGUGGGGUAAUGGCUCACCAAGGCGACGAUGCGUAGCCGACCUGAGAGGGUGAUCGGCCACACUGGGACUGAGACACGGCCCAGACUCCUACGGGAGGCAGCAGUAGGGAAUCUUCCGCAAUGGACGAAAGUCUGACGGAGCAACGCCGCGUGAGUGAUGAAGGUUUUCGGAUCGUAAAGCUCUGUUGUUAGGGAAGAACAAGUGCSAGAGUAACUGCUCGCACCUUGACGGUACCUAACCAGAAAGCCACGGCUAACUACGUGCCAGCAGCCGCGG